GAUGAAGAACGCAGCGAAAUGCGAUAAGUAGUGUGAAUUGCAGAAUUCAGUGAAUCAUCGAAUCUUUGAACGCACAUUGCGCCCCUUGGUAUUCCAUGGGGCAUGCCUGUUCGAGCGUCAUUUGUACCUUCAAGCCUUGCUUGGUGUUGGGUGUUUGUCUCGCCUCUGCGCGCAGACUCGCCUCAAAACAAUUGGCAGCCGGCGUAUUGAUUUCGGAGCGCAGUACAUCUCGCGCUUUGCACUCAGAACGACGACGUCCAAAAGUACAUUUUUACACUCUUGACCUCGGAUCAGGUAGGGAUACCCGCUGAACUUAAGCAUAGCAAUAAGCGGAGGA
rnacentral:misc_RNA from 1 species